UGAUGGAGCAUGCGCAGUGAGCUUCUGCUGGCCUUCCUUGUCAGUCAGGCUGUCAGGUGUGGAUUUACCUGUCAUGAGCAGGGGUGAGGUCAUCCAAGGUAUGAAGAUACGACGUGAGGUUACCUUGAGUUCUCAUGUAGAUCCUCCAUGGACGGUGCAGGUACCUGGCUGCCAUCUCCACAGGUAUCUUCAGGUAUCCAGAAAACACUUGAAAUGCCCCCCUCGGGGUUGUUUUUCUGCUCUGUAAGACUUCGUUGACCUGCCAAGCUGAGUAAAACUAUUUUAUUCCAUCCUUA